rnacentral:rRNA from 1 species
AUGUUAUAUUCAAAAAGACUUCUGAAAUGUUCUGAAGAUAUUGUACAGCCAAUAUCUAAAAUCUUCAAAUGUAACUCAGAAGUACUAACAAACAAAAGCAUGUUCUUCCAACAUUUAGGCGUCCCCAUUUUAAUUGACAAAGAGUUGCAAGGGUGUAGAAGUCAGCAGAAGCAAGACAGAGAACAUCUGCUUCAUACCGACCAUACAUCACAAGAAACUGAAUGGCAAGAUGAGUACACCUAUAAAUCAAAUUGGAAGUUGAGUUCCAGAGAAAAACUCUCUAGAGCCUCAUAUGAAUCUUGCACAGCAAUGACUCGACACGCUCCCACAGAACAAAAGGGAGGCAAUCUUAAGGGCGGUGCUUACAAAAGGUUGAUAGGAUCAAAAAUGAAACUCAAUAGGGAAGACAGCAUCAUGAUCAGAAGAGGAGGUUCAUAA